UUCGGAUGGCCUUGCGGUGCAUUAACUAGUUGGCGAGGUAACGGCUCACCAAGGUGAUGAUGCAUAGCCCGACCCCUGAGAGGGUAAUCGGCCACAUUGGGACUGAGACACGGCCCAAACUCCUACGGGAGGCAGCAGUAGGGAAUCUUCCGCAAUGGACGCAAGUCUGACGGAGCAACGCCGCGUGAGUGAAGAAGGUUUUCGGAUCGUAAAACUCUGUUGUAAGAGAAGAACAAAUUGUAGAGUAACUGCUACAGUCUUGACGGUAUCUUACCAGAAAGCCACGGCUAACUACGUGCCAGCAGCCGCGGUAAU
rnacentral:rRNA from 1 species